UAGGGAAUCUUCCACAAUGGACGCAGGCCUGAUGGAGCAACACCGCGUGAGUGAAGAAGGGUUUCGGCUCGUAAAGCUCUGUUGUUAAAGAAGAACACGUAUGAGAGUAACUGUUCAUACGUUGACGGUAUUUAACCAGAAAGUCACGGCUAACUACGUGCCAU
rnacentral:rRNA from 1 species